rnacentral:lncRNA from 1 species
GGAUCAUUGUUCACCGAGGAUUCAAAGAUUUUGGCCCAUUCAUCUAUUACUCUUUUGCUUCUCUUUGGCAUUCUUGCUCUCCACAGGUUAUCCAUAGUGAUUUGAGUUAUUAUCAUACUGUGUUCCUUCAAUCAGACUUCAUAGAUUAUCUGUUUUCUUCAGAGUCUAUUAAUGUGGAGUUGAAAUGGUAUCUUGAAUCUUGCAGAAUGAAGUGUACAUGCUUAUGCUGAAAACUGACCUGUAAGAUACAACCUCUCUCUAUAAUCUUCACCUGCGUGCUAGAGAAAGAGUAACUAAUGAAUCAAGGAAGGAUAUCAUGUCAUUAAGGACACUACCUU